CCUACGGGAGACUGCAGUGAGGAAUAUUGGUCAAUGGACGAGAGUCUGAACCAGCCAAGUAGCGUGAAGGAUGACUGCCCUAUGGGUUGUAAACUUCUUUUAUAAAGGAAUAAAACGAGGCACGUGUGCCUUUUUGCAUGUACUUUAUGAAUAAGGAUCGGCUAACUCCGUGCCAGCAGCCGCGGUAAUUCGGAGGAUCCGAGCGUUAUCCGGAUUUAUUGGGUUUAAAGGGAGCGUAGAUGGGUUGUUAAGUCAGUUGUUAAAGUUUGCGGCUCAACCGUAAAAUUGCAAUUGAUACUGGCAGUCUUGAGUACAGUUGAGGUAGGCGGAAUUCGUGGUGUAGCGGUGAAAUGCUUAGAUAUCACGAAGAACCCCGAUUGCGAAGGCAGCUUACUAAACUGUGACUGACAUUGAUGCUCGAAAGUGUGGGUAUCAAACAGGAUUAGAUACCCCUGUAGUC
rnacentral:rRNA from 1 species